rnacentral:rRNA from 1 species
UACGGGGGGAGCAAGCGUUGUUCGGAUUUACUGGGCGUAAAGGGCGCGUAGGCGGCCACCGCAAGUCGAUUGUGAAAUCUCCGGGCUUAACCCGGAAAGGUCAACCGAUACUGCGGGGCUAGAGUGCAGAAGGGGCAACUGGAAUUCUCGGUGUAGCGGUGAAAAUGCGUAGAUAUCGAGAGGAACACCUGCGGCGAAGGCGGGUUGCUGGGCUGACACUGACGCUGAAGUGCGAAAGCUAGGGGAGCGAACGGG